rnacentral:rRNA from 1 species
UACGAAGGGUGGCAAGCGUUACUCGGAAUUACUGGGCGUAAAGCGUGCGUAGGUGGUGAGUUAAGUCUGUCGUGAAAGCCCCGGGCUCAACCUGGGAAUGGCGAUGGAUACUGGCUCGCUAGAGUGGCGGUAGAGGAGAGUGGAAUUCCCGGUGUAGCAGUGAAAUGCGUAGAGAUCGGGAGGAACAUACAGUUGCGAAGGCGGCUCGUCUGGACCAGCACUGACACUGAGGCACGAAAGCGUGGGGAGCAAACAGG